GUGUCAGCCGCCGCGGUAAGACGUAGGGGGCAAGCGUUGUCCGGAAUUACUGGGCGUAAAGGGCGUGUAGGCGGUACGAUACGUAGCGGUUUUAAGCCUCCGGCUCAACCGGAGGAGGGCGGCUAAACGGUCGCACUUGAGGGCAGGAAAGGUGCAUGGAAUUCCUAGUGGAGCGGUGAAAUGCGUAGAGAUUAGGAAGAACACCAGUGGCGAAGGCGAUGCACUGGCCUGACCCUGACGCUGAGGCGCGAAAGCGUGGGGAGCGAACGGGAUUAGAAACCCGCGUAGUCC
rnacentral:rRNA from 1 species